AGCUAGCGCCUGAGGAUGAGCCUGCGUCUCAUUAGCUAGUUGGUAGGGUAAUGGCCUACCAAGGCGACGAUGGGUAGCCGGCCUGAGAGGGUGAGCGGCCACACUGGGACUGAGAUACGGCCGAGACUCCUACGGGAGGCAGCAGUGAGGAAUAUUGCGCAAUGGCCGAAAGGUUGACGCAGCGACGCCGCGUGAGGGAUGAAGCUUUUAGGAGUGUAAACCUCUGUUAGGAGGGAAGAAUAAUGGCAAUUCGAACAGGGUUGUCAGAUGACGGUACCUCCAGAGGAAGCCCCGGCUAACUCCGUGCCAGCAGCCGCGGUAAUACGGGGGGGGCUAGCGUUGUCCGGAAUUACUGGGCGUAAAGGGCGCGUAGGCGGGAUAGCAAGUCAGUGGUGCAAACUUGAGGCUUAACUUCAAGCUUGGCAUUGAUACUGUUAUUCUUGAGUUCGGCAGAGGGAAGUGGAAUUCCUGGUGUAGCGGUGAAAUGCGUAGAUAUCAGGAAGAACAGCGGUGGCGAAGGCGGAUUCCUGGUACGAUACUGACGCUGAGGCGCGAAAGCUUGGGGAGCGAACAGGAUUAGAUACCCUGGUAGUCCACGCUGUAAACGAUGGGUACUAGGUGUUGGUUGUAAUGAUCAGCGCCGGAGCAAACGCAUUAAGUACCCCGCCUGGGGAAUACGGUCGCAAGACUGAAACUCAAAGGAAUUGACGGGGGCCCGCACAAGCGGUGGAGCAUGUGGUUUAAUUCGAUGCAACGCGAAGAACCUUACCUGGGCUUGAACUGCAGGUGCUAUCUCCUGAAAGGGAGUUUCCUUCGGGACGCCUGUAGAGGUGCUGCAUGGCUGUCGUCAGCUCGUGCUGUGAGGUGUUGGGUUAAGUCCCGCAACGAGCGCAACCCCUGUCCCUAGUUGCCAUCAGGUCAAGCUGGGAACUCUAGGGGGACUGCCCCGGAUAACGGGGAGGAAGCUGGGGAUGACGUCGAGUCAUCAUGGCCCUUACGUCCAGGGCUACACACGUGCUACAAUGGCCGGUACAACGGGUAGCGAGACAGCGAUGUGGAGCAAAUCCCUUAAAACCGGUCUCAGUUCAGAUUGCAGUCUGCAACCCGACUGCAUGAAGUUGGAAUCGCUAGUAAUCGCGGAUCAGCAUGCCGCGGUGAUACGUUCCCGGGCCUU
rnacentral:rRNA from 1 species